UUCCCUCUCUCUUUCUCUCUCUCUCUCAGCUGGUCGAACCUCUCUCUCUACCUUCUGUUUCCCCUCUCUCUCUCUCUCUCUCUCAGCGAGAUCUCUCUGAGGGCUCCCAUCAGCGUAGAGCAACUUCGAGCAGCCCAUUGAGUUUCGAUUUGCCCUCAUUUUUCAAGGCGAUAACAAUGUCAUCUCAUUCUACAAGUACUCAAGGAUAUACACCUCGACAAUUCCCUACGUGCAGUAUAGAUACCCUCGACAAUGCCCUACGUGCACGUAUAGAUUGUGCUGUGAAAGCAUCGGCAAAGCUCAAAUAACCCGAACAGGAUGUACUAUAAGUGUAUACUAUGCGGGUGUGAUGAAUGUGAUGCUGUCAUGCAAAAUGUUAAUUUAAGGCAUCGCAAAAAACAACAUUGGAAUCCAAUGAAUUUUGUCCCUAACUUAUCUAGAAUGUGCAUUAUAUAUAUUUGCUGCAGAAUUCAGCACAUACUACGUUGUAUUGACUCUGCAAAUAUUAUUGUUUCGUAUUGGUACGUGAAACUAGACUUUUGACAUGAUGAUAA